UUGUCCUUCUCCUUUCUUAUCUUAUCUUAUACUUCAGAUUACACCAUUUAAAAUAAAUAAAUAAAUAAAUAUUAUCUGUAAGUAAAAUCUUACAUUUCAUCAUCCGAAAAUUUUUAUUAGUAUUUUAACAAAUAAAUUGAUAAAAUUGGUGAUUAAAUUCAGACCUUUAGAUGUUCAGAAUAUAAAUUUUAUACUUAUUUUAUAGGUGUAUGAUAAUUAAAUAGUAUUAUCUGUUUUUUACCUAGAAAGUUUCUAUUGUAUUGGUUAUACCACAUUGGAUAUAUUUUUAAACUGAAAUUGUUAUGUCAUCUAAGAUAAUAAAGAAUCUAAUAGGACAUAAUUUAAAAAAUUUUAUAUUAAAAUGAUGUUAAAAAAAAUUACUCGUAUAUCUUUUUGCUUUGAGAAGAUUUUGAUUGAAUAUAUUAUUAUUUUUAUUUAAAAU
rnacentral:lncRNA from 1 species